rnacentral:rRNA from 1 species
UACGGGGGGGGCAAGCGUUGUUCGGAAUUACUGGGCGUAAAGGGCUCGUAGGCGGCCAACUCAGUCGAACGUGAAAUCCCCGGGCUCAACCCGGGAACUGCGUCCGAUACUGGUGGGCUUGAAUCCGGGAGAGGGAUGCGGAAUUCCAGGUGUAGCGGUGAAAUGCGUAGAUAUCUGGAGGAACACCGGUGGCGAAGGCGGCAUCCUGGACCGGCAUUGACGCUGAGGCGCGAAAGCCAGGGGAGCAAACGGG